rnacentral:rRNA from 1 species
AGGAUGAACGCUGGCGGCGUGCCUAAUACAUGCAAGUCGAGCGGUAAGGCCUCUUUUAGAGGUACACGAGCGGCGGACGGCUGAGUAACGCGUAGGAACCUACCCUAAAGUGAGGGAUAAGCACCAGAAAUGGUGUCUAAUACCGCAUAUGCUCUUCGGAGUAAAGCUACGGCGCUUUGGGAAGGGCCUGCGUAUGAUUAGCUUGUUGGUGAGGUAAAAGCUCACCAAGGCGACGAUCAUUAGCUGGUCUGAGAGGAUGAUCAGCCAGACUGGGACUGAGAACGGCCCAGACUCCUACGGGAGGCAGCAGUAGGGAAUCUUCCACAAUGGGCG